UCCCAGCGCUGGGGAGGCAGAGUCGGAUGGGUCUUGUUGAGUUCAAGGCUAGCCUGGUCUACUUACUGAGUUCCAGGGCAGAGAGGGCUGCAUAGUGUGAUCAUCUCAAAAAAGAAAAACAGUUGUUGGGGACGGCGGUUGGAAAGAGACCUCCUCUGAUAAAAGUCUUGCUUCCUUUGCAUAGGAUGCAGGUUAGAUUCUCAGCAGCAACAUGGCGGCUCACACCUGUCUGUAACUCCAGCUCUAACGCCAAAGGAGGCUACAAGCGCAGAAAAAAAUAUGGCAAACAGAGAUGGCUCAGUCAGUAAAGUUGUGAGACCUUUCUGGAAUGUGAACUCUGCUGCCAAUGAGCGUGGGAGAGAAGAGAUAUCAUAGACUGAAGCCAGGAUGGCUCCAGAAAGGCUUCGAUCCCAGGUCUAAUUUGCAUUCUUAUAUUAUACUCUAAAUCCACAAGGUGAGGCUGGCAAGUAAGUGAGAUUUUACAGUGGCCUGUGAGUCAUCAGGUUAAGGACAAGGACCCAUUGUUUCAGCUAUGUCUCCAGGUCAUUCUGGAUAGCAAGUGAAGUUGUGCUUAGCAACUAGGCAGUACAGCCAGUGCUUCAAGUGAAAUC
rnacentral:lncRNA from 1 species